CGUCUUACCCAGCAGUGUUUGGGUGCGGUUGGGAGUCUCUAAUACUGCCGGGUAAUGAUGGA
rnacentral:pre_miRNA from 2 species